rnacentral:tRNA from 3 species
CGUAGCUCAGCUGGAUAGAGUACCUGGCUACGAACCAGGCGGUCAGAGGUUCGAAUCCUCUCGGACGCGCCA